GCCACGGUUGUCUAGCGGAUAGAACGCUGGCCUUGUAAUCCUGGGGUCUCGGGUUCGAUUCCCGGCGGUGCCC
rnacentral:tRNA from 1 species